CAGUCGCCACGGGAAUACGAAGGGUGCAAGCGUUACUCGGAAUUACUGGGCGUAAAGCGUGCGUAGGUGGUGAUUUAAGUCCGUUGUGAAAGCCCUGGGCUCAACCUGGGAAUUGCAGUGGAUACUGGGUCACUAGAGUGUGGUAGAGGAUAGUGGAAUUUCCGGUGUAGCAGUGAAAUGCGUAGAGAUCGGAAGGAACAUCUGUGGCGAAGGCGACCAUCUGGGCCAACACUGACACUGAGGCACGAAAGCGUGGGGAGCAAACAGGAUUAGAUACCCCAGUAGUCCCUGUCUCUUAUAC
rnacentral:rRNA from 1 species